UCGGGUUUUUCGGUUCGGGUUCGGUUCGGAUUUCGGGUUCCGGAUUUUAUGCCCAGGCCUAAUUCUCAAUCAGAAUUAGAGAUCCAUAUCGCCUGGUCACACAUGUUUAGUGUCCUGGGAUUGUUUCGAAUCCAGAUCGCAUAGCUCACCGGAAUUCGCCUACCACUAGACGACCCAUGUGUGGUUUCUCUUAUAAACUUUUCCUCUGUCUGAUUAGUUUUGUUAUGUUACCCUUGCAGUGAGAAUUUGAUGAAGAACAACGAAAAACCCGUUCGUCAGCGAUUCAGUUUAUUGAAGCUUUUCAUGGGAAACACUAAGACUCAACGUCAGAACUCCAAGAGAAAGUCAGAUAAGAAACCAAACAAACCAUUUCUAUGUCUUUGCUUCAACCCUGAUAUGGUCAGGGAAACAAAAGGGCCAACCAAAACUAAGAAGAGGAAUCUCUGAGAAUAAAAGAUAGAUUCUUCUUCAGUGUUGGCUAAAACGCUUUUAGAAAGAUCUGUCCUCGGAUUCAGAGUAUGGUAGCAAAAUAGAAUCUUUUGAGUGCACAGUGGCAAAACACAAAACUGGAACACCCAGAUGAAAGAAGGCUUCAUUUUCUUGUAUUGUAUAUCUUCAAUGAAAUAAUUUGGUUUCUUUUACAAUCUUAUUCUCAUUAUGCUUGCUUGUGUGGUUGUUAUAUUGUAGAUCUUCAAUGAAAUACCUUGGUUUCUUUUACAAUCUUACAAAACCAAUAACUUGGUUUCUUUUACAA